CAUGAGACUUCUUCUCCACACCAAAUAGCAACAAGCUCUUCAAGGGUGCACUAGCCAGACACUAUUCAAAACUCCUCCACAUGUGCAAACCAUGAAGUCCUUCACGAACCUAAGACUGUUCGGGAAGCUUUUCAGUCUAAUAAUUGGAGACUCUAAUGGAAAAUAAAAUGUGGGACUUGGUGCCUUACAAUUCAAAUCGGAAUCUCAUUAGCAGCAAAUGGAUAUUUAAAAUUAAAAAAAAAAAAAAAAAUCAGAUGGGUCCAUAAGUCGUUACAAAGCAUGACUUGUUGCAAAAGGAUUUACUCAACAGCCAGAACACGAUUAUACUGAGAUGUUUAGUCCCAUGAUCAAGCCUACCACAAUUCGGCUUGUUAUGAGCAUUACACUCACAAAUAACUGGCCAAUCAAACAACUAGAUGUGAACAGUGUCUUCUUAAAUGGGCAUCUUCAAGAGGAGGUUUAUAUGGCACAACAACUAGGUUGUGUGGACCCUGAAAAGCCAUCUCAUGUAUGUCGUCUAAGAAGGCUAUCUAUGGUCUUAAACAAGCUCCCCAAGCAUGGUACACAGAACUUAAAAAUUUUCUUCUUCAGUAUGGUUCUACAAAUUCUCUGGCAGAUACCUUUCUUUUUGUCUAUCACAAAGAUCACUCCCUCAUAUACCUGCUUGUUUAUGUUGAUAACACAAUCUAUACAGGGAAUAGCACAUAGCUGCUUUUCUCACUUCAUUCAAGCCAUAUCUCAUAAAUUCUCCCUCAAAUACAUGGGCAAUUUGUACUAUUUUCUCGGCAUCGAAGUGAUUCCUACAAGCUUCUAUCUUAGCCAAAAUAUAUUUUGGACCUUCUUGAAAGGACCAGUGUGGCAGAUGCUAAAGAGGUAUCGACACCUCUAGCAUCAUCAACAAAAUUAACCUUGCAUGAUGGUUCCAAAUCUGUUGAUGCCACUUGGUACCGCAAAGUUGUUAGGAGUCUCCAAUACUGUCUUUUACUAGGCCAAAUAGUGCUUUUGCUGUGAAUAAACUUUCACAAUACAUGCAUCAAUCAUCCGAAUUGCAUUAGGCCUUUAUUAAACGGGUAUUAUGGUAUCUGAAAGGGACAAGCUCUUAUGGCUUGCAACUUCGGGCCAAACCUCUCUUUCUCUUCACACAUUUUCUGAUGUGGAUUGGGUAGGUAACCAUGAUGACAGAACUUCCACAAUGUCUUACAUUGUUUUUCUAGGCACCAACCCAAUUUCUUGGUCCUCUAAGAAGUAGAAAUUAGUUUCCCGAUCCUCUACUGAAGCCGAGUACAGAGCAGUUGCCAACACAACUUCUGAGGUAUGUUGGCUUACUUCGUUGAUGCAUGAACAUCAUCUUCCUCUUCCUCAAGCUCAGCAGUAUACUGUGAUAAUAUUGAGGCUGCAUGUCGUUCUGCAAAGCCUGUCUUUCACUCCAAAAUCAAGCACGUGUCAACUGAUUUUCAUUUUGUAAGGGAAAUGGUUUCUUCUGACCAAGUUCGGAUUUUUCAUGUCUCAAGUAAAGAUCAGCUUGCUGACACUCUUACUAAGGCUUUUCCCUGACUCCACUUCACAGUACUCAGGUCCAAGAUUGAUGUUGUCUCACAACCCCACAUCUUGAGGGGGCUUAAAGGAUAAUAAGCCUUCACUGCCUUAUUGUUAUCUUCUUAUCUUAAGUUGUUGUAUUGUUACUUGUAAAACUUAUCUUGUUUAACUACUUGAGUGUAUGGCUGUGUGUAUAUAUAUAUAUACUGGAACUGGUUCUUUAAUGAAUAAGGCUUUUCCAAUA